rnacentral:rRNA from 1 species
AUUGAACGCUGGCGGCAUGCCUUACUCAUGCAAGUCGAACGGUAACAGGUCUUCGGAUGCUGACGAGAGGCGAACGGGUGAGUAAUACAUCGGAACGUGCCUAGUAGUGGGGGAUAACUACUCGAAAGAGUGGCUAAUACCGCAUGAGAUCUACGGAUGAAAGCAGGGGAUCGCAAGACCUUGUGCUACUAGAGCGGCCGAUGGCAGAUUAGGUAGUUGGUGGGAUAAAAGCUUACCAAGCCGACGAUCUGUAGCUGGUCUGAGAGGACGAUCAGCCACACUGGGACUUAGACACGGCCCAGACUCCUACGGGAGGCAGCAGUGGGGAAUUUUGGACAAUGGGCGCAAGCCUGAUCCAGCAAUGCCGCGUGCAGGAUGAAGGCCUUCGGGUUGUAAACUGCUUUUGUACGGAACGAAAAGCCCUGGGUUAAUACCCUGGGGUCAUGACGGUACCGUAAGAAUAAGCACCGGCUAACUACGUGCCAGCCGCCGCCGUAAUAC